AUGGAUGCUGACCAAAGCUUCUUGGACACCCUUGGUUUUGGUUACACGCAAACACAACUAGAAAGUCCAAUUGGAGAGCAGGCAACUCCAUCAACUCAGCAUCGUUCUGCAAUAACAGAGAAAGGAAAAUCGAACAAAGGCAAAAAUUGGUCUAGUGAUGAUGACAAGGUUCUCAUAGCAGCAUGGGCAAAUACAAGUUUGGAUAUUGUUGGGACAGAUCAAAACCGGGAUGCUUAUUGGGAUAGAAUUUCAGAGUGCUACAACACACACAAGGAAUCAUCAUGGCCGGAGCGUAAUGCUAAUGCAAUCAAUUGCCGUUACACAACGAUUAACAGAGAGACCUCUAAAUUUUGUGGUUGCCUUCAGCAGAUUUUAAAUAGGCAAGAAAGUGGAAGGACUAUAGAAGAAAAGGUUUACACCAGGAGGGAGAAUGCCGAUAGCUGGAAUUUUUGA
rnacentral:rRNA from 1 species